rnacentral:tRNA from 1 species
AAGGAUUUAGUUAAAUCAUAACAUUAGAUUGUCGAACUAAAAUUAUUAUUUCAUAAUAAUUCUUA